GACGAACGCUGGCGGCGUGCUUAACACAUGCAAGUCGAACGGAAAGGCCCUGCUUUUGUGGGGUGCUCGAGUGGCGAACGGGUGAGUAACACGUGAGUAACCUGCCCUUGACUUUGGGAUAACUUCAGGAAACUGGGGCUAAUACCGGAUAGGAGCUCCUGCUGCAUGGUGGGGGUUGGAAAGUUUCGGCGGUUGGGGAUGGACUCGCGGCUUAUCAGCUUGUUGGUGGGGUAGUGGCUUACCAAGGCUUUGACGGGUAGCCGGCCUGAGAGGGUGACCGGCCACAUUGGGACUGAGAUACGGCCCAGACUCAUACGGGAGGCAGCGGUGGGGAAGAUUGCACAAGGGUAGGAAGCCUGCUGCAGCAACGCAGCGUGCGGGAUGAAGGCGUUGGGAUUGUGAACCGCUUUCGGCUGUGAUGAAGAGUGAGUGACGUUACUGGGUGAAGAGGGAAGGGCUAACUACAUG
rnacentral:rRNA from 1 species